GAUGAACGCUGGCGGCGUGCCUAAUACAUGCAAGUCGAGCGAACGGACGAGAAGCUUGCUUUUCUGAUGUUAGCGGCGGACGGGUGAGUAACACGUGGAUAACCUACCUAUAAGACUGGGAUAACUUCGGGAAACCGGAGCUAAUACCGGAUAAUAUUUUGAACCGCAUGGUUCAAAAGUGAAAGACGGUCUUGCUGUCACUUAUAGAUGGAUCCGCGCUGCAUUAGCUAGUUGGUAAGGUAACGGCUUACCAAGGCAACGAUGCAUAGCCGACCUGAGAGGGUGAUCGGCCACACUGGAACUGAGACACGGUCCAGACUCCUACGGGAGGCAGCAGUAGGGAAUCUUCCGCAAUGGGCGAAAGCCUGACGGAGCAACGCCGCGUGAGUGAUGAAGGUCUUCGGAUCGUAAAACUCUGUUAUUAGGGAAGAACAGAUGUGUACGAAACUGUGCACCUCUUGACGGUACCUAAUCAGAAAGCAACGGCUAACUACGUG
rnacentral:rRNA from 1 species